AUCCUGUGGAGCCAGUUAUAUGGAACAGUACAAUUACACAACAAAUGUGGGUUCCAGCUCCAGUCUCCAUACAGCAUGGUGUCUUCUAGUUGAACAGAUUUUAACUGGCUGAACAUGGGGGGAAUGUAUUUUAUAAGACUGAAGCAGAUACUAAAAGGCAGCAACAGGAACAUCUUCAUCUCACCCAGUUGUGCAAGACACGGGAUGUGGCAAGUUUUAGGAUAAAUGAGACAGGGCAGCCAUUGUAAACAGCAAAUACACUUCUGGAAUUGUGUAAAGAGCUGCUGGCAGACCAAGAGGUCAGUUUUAUCCUGAUUGAGAGAGAGUGCUGCCAGAACCACCCAGAACAAGACCUCCAAACACAGCAGAUCCUGUGGAGCCAGUUAUAUGGAACAGUACAAUUACACAACAAAUGUGGGUUCCAGGUAACACAAAGAAUCCAUUUCCCCCAUAUGUAUGGAAACUAUAGAGGCAGGGUAUAUAAAGCAAGGAGAUUGUGUUGGACAAUACUCUAUCACUGAAGACAAAUAGACACAAUUUAA